CCUUAAUUGGUACCUGUAAAGGUAAGUAAGGUAACAUACUUUUGAUUAAUAUUCUUCAGUGAUAAAUGAUUGCAUUAUCUUAUGCAUAAAAGAAUGUAGCCUUAGAAACCUCAGUAUCUAUAUUUUUAAGUUCAGAAUUUUCUCUGACAUUGUGGUUAAAAAUACUUGUCACUUGUUGCAGCUCAAAAACAGGUGGGUGAAACUUCUCUAAAUGAUUAAAGCUCAACCUCUCAUCAGACAAUCAAGCUGGUAAAGAUACUGGUCCUAUUUCUACUUAGAUUAAAAGUAUUUGGCAUUGUGAAGCUUCUCUGCACAUUUGACAUAAGAUAGAUUAUGUACAUGAAAUAGUUAGGUAUUCAAGCAUGUGAAAUUGAACACAAGGAUUAAAUCAUCAUAUUGAAAUCUUUGUUAUUUACUUUGUUAGAACACCUGAGCUAUGUACUAUAUGCUAGCUGAAUGCAGUAAAUCUAAUCUACCCAAUAACUAUAAAAAAAUGUCUCUUUAAAUUAAUCAAGAUGUAAAAUUAUUGUUAUAUGUGGUUGCAGCCUUUUUCUAUGUUGGGACCUGGGAAUUCUAAGGUUGCAUCACAACAGUUCUUAUUUUCAUAAUGUAUAUGGAAAAGAUCAUAGAAACUUGGGAAAAGAAGUGGAUGAAAUGAGGAAGUAUUGAAAAUAUUAUUCUUAAUUAUAUGAUCUUAUUGAAACUAGGAUGAAACUACUGAUUAUUAAUUAAAUUAAUGACCACAUGCCACAAUUUUGAUGGCUUGCAACUCUUUAAUGCUGCAUAAUUGCCAUUAUUAAGUGGCCGGUCUUACUUUCAGCACCUCUUGCUCUUUCUCUUCCAGUUUCUUUUUCAUUAAUUAAUUGUAUACAACAACAACAACAUACUCAGUGUAAUCCCACAAGUAAGAAGAAUAGAGUGUAUCCAAACCUUAGCCCUAUCUCUUGGAGUCAAAGAGGUUGUUUAUAAAAAAAAGUUAACUUUGUAAUCUAAUCAUUUAUCAACUCCAAGAUCUUCUAAGAAAAUAUCAGAUUACAUAAUUAUAGAGUUCAUAUAAGUUGAUAUCAAAAUUUGAGAACACCAGAUGAUGUACUUACAAAUUUUGUAACAUGAAAUAUUAGACAGUACCAUAUUGUGCUUGUAACUAUCUUGUUAUCUUCAUUAUUGUUUAGCCAUCUCAAACAACAAUGAUUAGCAUAUCAGAGAGGUUGUAAUGACAUUACCUGAUGAAUCCAUAUCAAUUAAAAUGGCAAGAUUAUCCCAUCACCUACACCAGCCAAUUACAUAUUACUUUCUAAUAAUCAUUUUUCCACUAUAAUGUGUUGAUGGUACUUGUACCGACUUCCUCUCCACCCCUAUCACAUAGUGUUGUUGUGUUUGUGGCUGAGUGGAAUGAGAGAACUACAGAACAUAAGAUUAUAAGGUGCAAAUGAGAAGGUUUUAUGCACAUUAAGGGUGUAAAAUGUAUAGAAAUUCAUACAAACAAAGUGAGCUGGAAGGAUUUUUAGACUAUUACCAAUUUAAGGUUCAGAUUCGUCCAAGUUUGAUGUAAUUCCUCUUUUCUUCCUCCUACUCUUCACCAAUAAGUUCUUCUUGAUAGCUUUGAUAACUUUAACUUUUCCACCUUCUACUUUUUAGCACUCUCUUCCUUUCUUCUCCUACCUUUUUUUCAAAAGUUUUCUUCACUCAUACAAGUGAUUGAAAUUCUGGAUCUUCAUUGAUUCCUGUUCUUCAUAUGAUUCCACCAAAAUUCAUAAAAGCUCCUCUAUGAGGAUCAUGUGUGAUGUGAGCAGGUAUACCUCAUCAUUGUUAAAUUUGUCAACUCGACAAUCUCUAUUUUCAUUCUUCAUCACUUUGGUGUUGUCUUUAGAUGUCUUACUCUAUUCGUACUGCAACACUUUGAUGGUCAAGUUCCAUAAGAUACUUUGUUCAUUACUUGAUUUACUGUGAAAGUCUCUAAAUUUUUGCUUUCUUUUAUAUAUUAAAGGCGCAGUAAGCUCUUGAGCAUCAAAACUACCACCAUCAUUCCUAAAGGCGAAAGAAGCUACAUCGAUGAUAAAAUAAAGAAGACAUUGAGAGCUUAAUUAUGGUCAAAGCUAGCUUAAUUCUUUUACGGGAGAGGAAUGUGAUUUAAUAUCUAAAAUAGAGCAUGUGAAACAAAAACAAUAAUUUUUUAGUUCUCUGUGCACAAUUUAAAUCUUUGUGUUUGUUUGUUACUUUUCCUGAUUGAGAACUACAAACCAACUUGACUUUUGGAUUAGAAGGGUGUGAAAUGAUUUAAAUUGAACCUGAUUCUUGAAUAUUGGCAGUAUUGAACAAGUUGAAAUGUGAAGAAAUUUGGGGGUAAUUUUUUAGAGUUUUGAACCAAGUUGGACAGAGAAUUAAGACAAUUGGUUGUCUAGUUUUCAAUUUCA
rnacentral:lncRNA from 1 species